AUCCCGCGCAUAUCCGGGUCACGAUAUGCAUCCUCCCUGUCGGACUGGCCGGGCUUCGCGCCCGGCCUUUUUU
rnacentral:ncRNA from 1 species